GAUGAAGAACGCAGCGAAAUGCGAUACGUAAUGUGAAUUGCAGAAUUCAGUGAAUCAUCGAGUCUUUGAACGCACAUUGCGCCCCCUGGUAUUCCGGGGGGCAUGCCUGUCCGAGCGUCAUUGCUGCCCUCAAGCACGGCUUGUGUGUUGGGCCUCCGCCCCCCGGCUCCCGGGGGGCGGGCCCGAAAGGCAGCGGCGGCACCGCGUCCGGUCCUCGAGCGUAUGGGGCUUCGUCACCCGCUCCGUAGGCCCGGCCGGCGCCCGCCGGCGACCCCCCUCAAACUUUCCAGGUUGACCUCGGAUCAGGUAGGGAUACCCGCUGAACUUAAGCAUAUCAAUAAGCGGAGGA
rnacentral:misc_RNA from 1 species